rnacentral:tRNA from 1 species
GGCUAGAUAGCAUAGUAUGGAUAAUGUAUGAUAUUGCAAAUUUCAUUAUAUUGGUUCAAAUCCAAUUCUAGCCU